rnacentral:rRNA from 1 species
UACGUAGGGUGCAAGCGUUGUCCGGAAUUAUUGGGCGUAAAGAGCUCGUAGGCGGCUUGUUGCGUCGGCUGUGAAAUCCCGGGGCUUAACUCCGGGCGUGCAGCCGAUACGGGCAGGCUAGAGUCCGGUAGGGGAGACUGGAAUUCCUGGUGUAGCGGUGAAAUGCGUAGAUAUCUGGAAGAACACCGGUGGCGAAGGCGGUCAACUGGCCCUCAACUGACGCUGAGGCACGAAAGCGUGGGGAGCGAACAGG